UGUUGGUCCCCUCGCAAUGAUAGAUUUCGAACCCCGCCAGGCCCGGAAGGGAGCAACGGUAGAGAUUGACUCAUGUGCCGGGGUGUGGCUGGCAAAG
rnacentral:SRP_RNA from 1 species